rnacentral:tRNA from 1 species
GGGGGCGGAUCGGGCCUGGUGGCUCGGCCGGUCUUCAAAACCGCGAUGGAGAGCCCUCCGGGCGCUCCGGUGGGUUCGAUUCCCACACGCUCCCGCCA